CCGCUAGGCAAAUCCUCUAGUUAGCGUUCUGACAACGUUAAUUUCCUUUGUACCGGUCAUCUCUUCUUCUUGAAAAGCUGGGAUAAAGUUGACAGUCUUUAUAGAUGAAAGGAGGUGGAAAUCGGGGUUAAUCCAAAUAAAUACUCACUUCUCUCUCAUAAAUUUUAGGCAACCUCAUCUUAACUUUUAAAAGAAAGGAAGAGGGGGAAAGAAAAGAAAAGGAAAAAAAAACAACAACAACAACAAACGAACAAUCCCAAAGCAUCAGUUUGUACUGAACUGCAUCCCUUUUCUCACCCUCACCAGAUUCUGCGGGAGGGGGCGGGGAUGCUCCACUGAUAAUACCAGCUUUAACUACUGGAGUUUCCCUUUGAACAAAUAUUCAAUUUAACUGGAGUUAAUUUACCAUAAAAGACAUUCCCCUUGGCACGAAUGCACUCAUGUCCUUGAACACACCUCUUUGAAUGCCUGGACUCUUACAGAAGCCAUUAUUCCGGGGUCUCUUUAAAAAUCCAGUGCCCAUCUCUCUGCUUCCCUCCCUUCCUCCCUCCCUCCCUCCUCACUACACCACCCCCAGCGAAAUCCUGGCACCCAGAGAGCACUCUUUUCAGCCAGAGCCCAGAACCAGCCGUUGUCCCCUGGCAAAAGAGGCCCAGUGCUGGGUCCUGGGCAAGUGUCUCCAAGACAUCUCUACAUUUCUUUAUUAGUCUUCUGUCCCAACAGAACCUAUUUCCUUUUGCCACUGAAACUAGGUUGCAUCUAAAAGUUUCUCACAAGCUUAAAAAAAAAGACAAAUGAGAAAUUGACACCAUUAUACAGAAGAAUUCAGAAAAGCCGAGCACCAGGGCAGAGAAGCAGCGUCAGACACAGGCCCACAGGACACACAGGAUGAUACUUCCACGUUUCAUGCCAUGGACAGAGCGAGGCUCUCACGGGCCUGUGUCAGAGAGGCUGCUCCCCCCACCUCUUCCCUGUAAAGUUUAUGAAGUCUCUAACUCUGAUUCAGUUUUCAUUCUUCGCUGCAGUGUGUGUUCACAGAGCCCUUGGAAGAAGACUGUGAUUGCUAAAAGUUGUGAGCCUGUGGCGGGCAAGGCCUGUACUUGGUGCAGCAAAGGAAAUUCCAUCACACCUGCUCCUCAGUCUAGGAUCCCAAGUUAGCCAGUUCCCACUUUGCCCCAAGAGACAGCCUCUCCUCUCCUAUUACCAAGAAACAGUCGAAUUUCAGGAAAGGGAUGAUCCCAUAUUUAAGAGGCUUGAAAUUGUAUGCAUGACAUUUCUGAGUUAAGUUCUAAAAUACAGUCCCCUUAAUCAUAGGAAAAAUAAGAAAUGUAGUUAAAACUUAUUUAAAAAACAUUGCACUAGGAGAAAUGAAAAAUUAUGUUGGCAUAAAACAUGUACAAAACUAUUCACAGCAUCAGCAGGGCUGGGAUAUAGCUCAGUCAUGGAGGGCUUGCAGAGCAAUGUGCAUGGUCCAAGGUUCAAUCCCCCAGCCCUGGGAUAGAAAAGUAGGAGGGGAGGAGGUAUUCACAGCAGCAUUUCCAAUAUCUACAGAAAAGAGAAAAAAUUCAAACGUCUACAAAUGAAAGGAGAAAUAUAAAAUGGUAUAGCUAUAUGAUGGGAUACUAGUCAGCAGCAGAAAAGUAUGAAAUGAUAGAGGUGACAGUAUGGAUGACUUUUUUUAACAUCUUCCUAAGUAACAGAAGCCAAUCACAAGAGAAGGCACCCACUCCAUAUUUCUGGAGUAUAUAGGCAUACCUAUACAGAGAGAAAGCAGAAGAGUGGUUGACUAGGACUUGGAGAGAGGGCCUAGACUUGGGGAGACAGCAGAGAGGUGCAGCAUUUCUCUGGAUGGAGAUGAAAAUAUUCUUGAAUUAACUGAAGUGAUGGUUGGGCCACUUGAUAACUACAUUUUGAAACCACUGAAUUUUACUUGCAAGUGGGGGAAUUGCAUGGUACGUUGAUUAUAUCUCAAUAAAGCCUUUAAUAUAUUUUAUUAAAAUAAUAUAAUAAUAUAAAAGAUACUUUAAGACCUGGA